AGUGAGCGCUGGCGGUAGGCCUAACACAUGCAAGUCGAACGGCAGCACAGUAAGAGCUUGCUCUUACGGGUGGCGAGUGGCGGACGGGUGAGGAAUACAUCGGAAUCUACUUUUUCGUGGGGGAUAACGUAGGGAAACUUACGCUAAUACCGCAUGCGACCUACGGGUGAAAGCAGGGGAUCUUCGGACCUUGCGCGAUUGAAUGAGCCGAUGUCGGAUUAGCUAGUUGGCGGGGUAAAGGCCCACCAAGGCGACGAUCCGUAGCUGGUCUGAGAGGAUGAGCAGCCACACUGGAACUGAGACACGGUCCAGACUCCUACGAGAGGCAGCAGUGGGGAAUAUUGGACAAUGGGCGCAAGCCUGAUCCAGCCAUACCGCGUGGGUGAAGAAGGCCUUCGGGUUGUAAAGCCCUUUUGUUGGGAAAGAAAAGCAGCAGGUUAAUACCCCGCUGUUCUGACGGUACCCAAAGAAUAAGCACCGGCUAACUUCGUG
rnacentral:rRNA from 1 species